UCCAACUUAUCGCUGGCGGUCUCCUGCGAGUUCCCAACUGAAUGAUGGCAACACAGGACGAGGAUUGCGCUCGUUGCGGGACUUAACCCAACAUCUCACGACACGAGCUGACGACAGCCAUGCAGCACCUCGACUGGACCCCCUUGCGGGGUAGCAAUGUUUCCACUGCCGUUGACCAGCCGUUCGAGCCCAGGUAAGGUUCUUCGCGUUGCGUCGAAUUGAACCACAUGCUCCACCGCUUGUGCGGGCCCCCGUCAACUCCUUUGAGUUUUAACCUUGCGGCCGUACUCCCCAGGCGGGGUACUUAUUGCGUUAGCUGCGACACUAAGAAGAUUAAACUUCCCAGCGUCUAGUACCCAUCGUUUACGGCGUGGACUAC
rnacentral:misc_RNA from 1 species